AUUGAACGCUGGCGGCAGGCCUAACACAUGCAAGUCGAACGGGUGGCGGACGGAUGAGAACUGUCUGGGACACUGCCUGGUGGAUGGGGAUAACUACUGGAAACGGUAGCUAAUACCGCAUACCAUCAGCUGUGCCCAGAUGGGAUGAGCUUGGUGGUGGGGGAACGGCUCACCAAGGCGACGAUCCCUAGCUGGUCUGCGAGGACGACCAGCCACACUGGAACUGAGACACGGCCCAGACUCCUACGGGAGGCAGCAGUGGGGAAUUUUGCACAAUGGGCGCAAGCCGGAUGCAGCCAUGCCGCGUGUAUGAAGAAGGCCUUCGGGUUGUAAAGUACUUUAAGCAGGGAGGCGUUACCCGCAGAAGAAGCACCGGCUAACUCCGUGCCAGCAGCCGCGGUAAUAC
rnacentral:rRNA from 1 species